rnacentral:sRNA from 1 species
UGUUAUAUCAUUUUUUGUCUUUUAAGGAAGAGAAAAAC